GAUAAUGCUUUGUUGGGGAGCUAUUCUGUGUAUUGUAGGAUGUUUAGCAGCAUUCCUGUCCUCUACCUACUAGAUACCACUCACACCACCCCC